AGAAAAGUAAGCUAAAACAAAGCUAAUGGGUUCAUACCCCAUUUAUAGAGGUGAUCCUCUCUUCUCUA
rnacentral:tRNA from 1 species